UCCAUUUCCUUCCUUUCCUUCACCGACACAAACGCCCUAAUUCUUCACCGCCAAUAAGAGACAGAUCGGGAAGCUUCUCCCCUGUACUUUCUUCUAGGUUUUCAGCUGUCGCCGGUACUGGUGAGCCCAAAGUUUCGUUCGCGGCUCCUAAAAGUUUGAGUCGCGAGUUCUCCUAGGUGCGUCGUCGAUUGUUUUUCCCCUACCUUGCUGCGACGUCGUCCGUGUGCGUGUGGACCUCGAAUUUCAGCUCUCCCUACUCUGCUUCCCGUCCGACUUCCUCUCUUUUUAAUCAUCGUCGGCGUGCUGGUGGGAGUGCUUCAGAUUUUCUCCUCCUCCUCCUUCACAGUUGCUGAGCUACACCUUCUUCCUCUUUUUACUGCUGUCAACGCGAUUCAGCUGAAAAACUGUUGUACUGAAAGAGGUUGCUGUUGGUCCCUUUAUUUUCUUCCUCUAUUGCUGCAAUAACUGAAAGUCACCUUUCCCCUGUUCAGCAUGAAUUUCGAAUUCUCCUUCCCUUCUCCGUCUCUGGUUGGUAAUAUGAGGUAUAGAACUUUAAGUUAACUUUCUUUUUGCUGUCCUGUGCGUGUGUUUUAGCUAAGUUGUUGACUUUUAUUUUCCUUUAACCAUGUGAAAUGCAUAGACAAGAAUUGGGGCUUAUUUGUGGUUGAGAUUAAUUUUCUAUUGAGGCAUACAUAUAUAUAUAUAUGUAUUCGAGUUUGUUUAAAUAUCUUCAUUGUAAAUUUUAGGAGUUGGAAUUGAUGAGGGAAAAUUGGUAUUAGCCUAUGACUUGAUGCUUAUGAAGAGUUUGAUAAAAUGCUUGCUAGAGGAGAUUUUGUCUGAAUAUGUAUUUUGGGAUUUAACUAACUCACAUAUAAGAAGUAUAUCUAAUUUGAAUGUUAAUGAUUCUUGUACUUAACUUGAAUAUUAUACAGGAAUUUAACAAUGAAGCGUGGUGGAGACAUGUGUAGCUAGUUGAAUGUUAAAAAGCUUUAUUGUGUGGUUUGGAAAUAAUGUACACUUGGUGUCUUAAUAAAAAGCUUAAUUUAAUGGAGUAAUUAGCAAUGGUUAUUGAACAAUUUUUAUGUGUAAAGUCUUGGUUCAAAAAUUUCAAAUCUAUUGUAGUUGGGGGUGACAAUGUUGGGAGAAAACUCUUGAACUUAUUCAGUGUCAACGAAGACCUUAAUAUAUUUUUUAGAGUGUUUAGAAGAGAAGAAAUUCGAUUGAAAUUAUAAGAGGUGAGCUUUGAAUUUUGAGAACAUUUUAAGUAAGUGAAUAGCAUCCCAAUCAAUUUAUAUAUUAGAAAAUUUUCUUUAUCAAAAUAUUGUUUUUAAUAAUUUACAGGUAUUUAUGUAUUUCUCUUGUUUUAGAUACUUUUGUUAAUUAAAUUGCUUUGUUUCUUGUAGUCAUGAUUUAUACUUUUCAGAUUGAUGAAAAUACUUUUACAAAUUUUAGUAAUCCUUUAAUUGAUAAAGUCAACUAUGAAAAUUGGUGAACAAUUUAUGAGAUAUUAGUUAUGAAUUUUUACAUUCAGGUAAAUUGAUGUUUUUAUACGUUUAAUGCGAGUUUGAUAUUUGGAAGAGAAAUUAUAUUUUUAAAAGUAAUGAUUUUCUCGUAUGUCUGAAAGUGGAUUUAAGAAGGGAUUGUAUACAGAACAUUGAUUGCUAACGGUAGUUCCGUUAACCCUUGAUGCGCCAUGGUCAAUGACUAGUUAGUUUGAUUUUCGUGAGUUCUAUUCUCACAUUUGAUAUUCGUGGGUCUCAUAUUUAUGUUUGUUUCAUGACUUCGACCACGUCUGGUUAUUUACUCUUGUGGGCUGUGUGUUCACGUCUGUUUUAUGGCUUUAACCACGUGUGGUUACCUACCCUCAUGGAUUGUGUGUCUACGUUUGUUUUAUGGUUUCGAUCAUGUUUGGUUACUUAUCCUCGUAGAUUUUGUGUCCAUGUCUGUUUCGUGGUUUCAAUCACGUUUGGUUAGUUACUCUCGUAGACUGUGUCUAUGUCUAUUAAUUGUUCUGACAAGUCCCUAUAAAUAUGAAUUUGAUUAUUUAAUGAUUUUAUAUCCCAUUGAUUUUAAUUAAUAAUAUGUUUUAAUUACUUAUUUUGUUUAUUUGCUUCCUUGAAAUUAAGUGAUAACAAUAUUUAAUAUGAUAACUUAAUGGUUCAAGAUUUCAUGUAAAAUUAUAUAGAAUUUUUUAUUCGAAAGUUAUUUGAAUUUUUAUUGAGAUCAUUGUCUUUUUAACUUACAUAAUUAUUUUUAACUUUUUUUAUUCAUAUUUAAUUAUUUGUUAUUGGGACGUUAUUCAUUGAAAAUAAUUUUGGUCCAUAUAGUGUAGUCGAUGUUGAACCUCUUGUUGAUGAAUAUUGAGAGGAUUUAUUGUUGACCAGAAUUGAAGGACCUAAGGUUGAAGUUUUUUUUAUUUAAAAUUUGAGUUAUGAAAUUUUAUUUUUGUAAAUUUAUAUCUAGAUGCUCCACAUAGUUUAUAGUUAGGUUUUUUUUUAUUUUGUUGCAUAUUUUGUCUAUUGGUUGGAAGGAGUUAAGCUCCUAAUUAAAAUGAUCUUUUAUGUAAAAUAUUGUGUUGUAGAGCUUUUGGAAAAACCUAUUCACAAGAGAGGUUCUGUCGAAAUUUCUAUAAAAAUAUUGAAACUUUUAUUAAGAUGAAAAUGGUUGUGCGUGUUAUAAAUUAAUAUAAAUAUAAUCAUGUUUUAGUAAUUGAAAAAUCUCUUGAUUUAAGGCUUAAGGAAUGUUGAUGUGAUUCACACCUCAUGUCGGUCACCCUCAAUUUUUGAGGCGUGACAGUUUUUGUAUAGUACUUUUGUGAUGUCGAGCUUAAUGAUGACAAAAUUUUUAUUUAUUAGUCUUCACAACACAAAUAUUUACAGUAUUGAUUAUCAUUCUCAAAAGAUUACCGAUGCAAUCAAGGCUAGAGGUAAGAGAAACAUAUUAUUUUUAGCUCUUUACAAUUCAUGGUGAGUUGUUAUUGUUACUUAUUUUUAAAUUUAGUUGACAUUUGAGUUAGUGAAAUAUUUUAUCUUUUCAGGCAACAUUGAAUGCUUGUUUGUAUCAAUCCAUUUUGCCAUCCAAUUUAUUAUCUUGACUCAUUAAGAGAUAAUAACUUUAAGAACUACAGAUCUAUGAGGAUAUUAUUUAAUCAGGUCAUAUCACGUUAUCAAGCUGGUGAAGGUCUCUCUCUAAAAACUGAAAAGCUUGAUCCUAUUAAGUUUUAUAUAUGAAAAAAAUAAAGGACUCUCUAACUUUGGAUAUCAAACAAAAGUUGAAUAUGUUUCGCAUGUAUAAAGUUGAGAGGAGUAAGUAGCAAAUUACUGUUUGAUGGCCCAUGGGAGUAGAGAAGCUUGUGGGUUUGAAUAAUGGAGGAGAACAAUGAGAAGAUAAAUAUCAAGCUGCAAGGGACAAUUAAUGGAUCUCCACCAUCAAGCUCAUUGUCGCACCUAAAAAAAUGCGACGCGGACGGCGUGCAAGCGGAUGUCCUAGCCUUCGCGGUGGGAACCGUAUGAACGAGGAGUCGCCACCAAGAUUUUGAAAAAAUUUUCGGGAAACCGAUUAAUGGAGGAUAAGGGUGGUCUACGAAAUCAGAGAAUAGGUUCGGAAGUCGGUUGAGUGUGGGGAAGGUGUUAGGCACCCUACAACACCCGUUCGUCAGAAUGGUUACUUGAAGUUUGUUGUGCUCUAUUAAUAUGAUUUUAAAAUUAUUUUAAUUAUUCCUUUUAUAUUCAUAUGUUUGAUAUAAAAAUGAUGAUAAUUGAGUGAGAAAUAUUUAUUUAUUUACGAGGAAGGACGGACUUGACUCAGAA